rnacentral:lncRNA from 1 species
CUCUGCUCUUGCUUCCCUGCUGCCUGCUUCAGCGUUUCCCUGUCUUGAUGGACUGACUGUCCUAGAACUAUGAGCCGUGGUAAAGCCGUUGCUUUUGUCUGAGUAUUUUUAUCACAGUGAUGGAAAGGCCUGUGAAAGGGGCAUUGAGAAGCGCUGUUCUAGACAGAUGAACACACCGUGGAAGCCUCCGUGUCCCCUGCACAAAUCAGUGGUGCCCACACCAUCCAGAGACCAUGGAUAGGAAGAUGCGGCAUGCAAAGACAAUGGGAAUUUUUUCAGCCAUGAAGAAUAAUGAAGUUCUAUCACUUGCAGGAAAAUGGAUGUGACUAGAGAUACUCAUACAAAGAGAAUAAAGGCUGUCUCAGGAAGAUAGCAUGGGCUUUACUUAUAUGUAGUUCCUUGACCUUAUAUAGAUACACAAAAUCAC